rnacentral:tRNA from 1 species
GCCUUCGUGGUGUAGUGGUCAGCACGCUCGACGCGUAACCGAGAGGUACGUGGUUCGAUUCCCGGGAAGGCG